AAUCGAGGUUUCUCGCACCCAAUCACCUCUCUGCCCUCAACUUUUUCACUCAAAUCCCCUCCAAAACCCUUCAAUCCCUGAAAAACGCUGCCUUUGAUUUGAACUCCGAAUCUUUGUCUCACACUCUCAUUCACUCCAUACCGACUAGGACUGCCAUUUGACGCUAUUUUCUGCGAUUCUAGGGUUGAUUUUGAAUUUUGCCGGGGAAACUAGGGUUUUUUUUUUUCUGGGGAGUAGGGGAGUUGGAGCAGAAUCGGAGACUUCGAUUCUUCAAUGGAGGCCACGUCCGGGGUUUCUACCGGCGGGCGCGGGGCUCAGGUUUCUAUUCCAUCAUCGCGGAAGGAGUGGCGGGCCGUCUCCGAGCACCAUUCGGUUCGAAACGCUGGGGACGAAGUGGAUCUUGAGCGGUCAAAGUUAGGUCAAUCAAAUGAGAGAACAAUAUAUGAACAUAGAAGAGAGCCAGCUGAUGUUAACUUUUGUUCCAUCACGAUCGAUGGGAGUUUAGAUGGUGACCUUAUGGAGCAACGACUUCAGGGCAUUGCUAGGCAAAGGCAGGAACUUCAGCAGAUGGAGGCUGAGCUUAGAGCUCAGAUGAUUGCGAGGUCUGAGAUCAUGGAAAGGCAAAAUAACUUUAAUGCCCAGAUCAAAGAGCAUGCCAAUAUCACUGAAAAGCUUCAGGAACAACUCCAUGAACGGGAACAGAUGAUACAUGACUUGGAAAGGAAAAUGGGUGAGAAAGACCGGGAGCUACAUGCAAUUAAGUUGGACAAUGAAGCGUCCUGGGCCAAAGAAGAUCUUCUUAGAGAACAAAAUAAUGAAUUGGCAACAUUCAGGAGAGAGCGUGAUCAUUCUGAAGCUGAAAGAGCACAACAUAUACAACAAAUACACGACCUUCAGGAACAUAUUCAAGAAAAGGAGAGGCAGCUCAUUGAGUUGCAGGAACAGUAUCGGGUUGCUCAAGAAACUAUUAUGUAUAAGGAUGAGCAAUUGAAGGAGGCUCAAGCUUGGAUUGCACGUGUUGAAGAGAUGGAUGCCUUACAGUCGACUACGAAUCACUCGCUACAAGCUGAACUGCGAGACCGUACAGAGCAAUAUAAUCAGCUUUGGUUAGGUUGCCAAAGACAGUUUGCAGAGAUGGAGAGAGUUCAUGUGCAUGCGGUGCAACAACUUCAACUUGAGUUGGCUGAUGCACGAGAAAGAAGGGGAACCUUCAAUGAUGAGGCACAUGUAUCUCAAUCAAAUUCAAAGGAUGUCUCCCAAUUUAGUCAUAACAAGGUAAACCAUCUAGAUGAGAAUGGUGGUGGUGCUGGAUCAAUAGCUAAUACAGGAACUCUUGCAAAUGGGAUUACGGAUAAUUUGUCAUCGUUUGCGUUAACUGGCGACGGGUCAACUCAGACCGACCAUAUGUCUGGUGUUCCAUAUCCACCGUCAUCUCUACUUGGAAUGCCCACCUACCUUCCACCUGGACAGGUGACUGCCCUGCAUCCGUAUGUUAUGCAUCAACUAGGGCUUAACCAUUCUGUGCCGACACAUGUUUCUCAAUCUCAUGUCGGGCAAUUUCAAUCUGUAUCCCUUCAACAAUGGCAGAAUCAGCAGGCUGUUUCUGAGAGUUCACAAAUAUCUGCACAGGAUCAACUUACACCAUCCGAGGCUGAUCAAAACCCCAGGAGACCAGAUGUAAAGUAUGAAUAUGAAUCGUCUGCUAAUGGAAAAGCACUUCGUCCAGAUUAUCUGGAUGUCCGUAUGAAUCAAGGACAGCUCGACCCUGUCAACUCAUCAUCUACUGGUGAACCAAAGGUUCUUGAGUCAAUUGAUAGAAGUUACCUUGUUGCCCCUCAGACUAAGCAAACCCUACAACAAAUUUCUUCCCAGUUUCGUGAUGCCUUAAGAUUGGAUCCUCCUGAACAGAAUAGCGAAACAAGGGAGCAAAAUGCUUUGAACUCAGCUAGUAAUGGAGCAACAGAUGUUUUAACUGUAGAACGAAGUUCUGCUGCUAGUGCGUCGCCAUCUGACGUUUCAGUUGAAUCUGGGAAUCUCAGUGAAGCCUUGUUUAAUGAUGGCACUGGUUCAGUUGUACCUGAAGCCGUUAGCUUAAUAGGGCAGGCAAAUACUCUGAAUGCUGAAAAGAUGUCGGAGACUGCUCUUCUUGAUGAAAGAUAUCUGCUGGCGUGCAUUGUCCGCACAAUUCCACCUGGUGGCAGAAUCCGGAUUAGUUCAACGUUACCAAAUAGGUUGGGGAAGAUGCUCGCCCCUUUACAUUGGCAUGAUUACAAGAAAAGGCAUGGAAAGCUUGAUGACUUUGUGGCCAGUCACCCAAAUUUAUUUUUUAUUGAGGGCGACUAUAUUCAACUUCGGGAAGGAGCACAAGAAAUGAUAGCAGCUACAGCUGCUCUAGCCAAAGUAGCGGCUGCAGCUGCAGCAGCAUCACCUUACUCUUCAUAUUUGCCUUCUGUGGCUGUUACUCCAAUGGCACAGCCUCGAAUGAAGAAAGUUUCUUCAAUUGAUUCGAAACAUGUGAAUGAUGAGAAGACUGGUUUCAAGGAAUAUGUGGCCAACCCUCCCACGCAGAAUCAGCAUCUUAAUGGUGUUAGUUCUGGUGUUUCUGGAGGUACGUCUAAGGUUAAAAUUUUGAGCAAGUCAAAAGAUCCUCUACAAAUGAAUGGACCAGAUUUUGAUAGAUCUAGUGUGAGUGCUACUCAAAUCAAGGGUUCAAAUAAUGGGAGGCCUAAUGCUAACUUUGUUGGAAAGCAGCAGAGCAGGAUAUAUGGGGCUGGGUUUACUUCCUGAAGAUACGCUGUUGCUACAUGCUAAAAUCUAUUUGAUAUGCUGUGAAAAGAUGUAGAAAGUCCAAUACCUGAUCAGGGGUUUUAAUAGUACUUGGAGGUGGGCUGUCAUAUCAGUUAAGGACUGUGAGGAAUGUUGUCAAGUGUUGACAGCGGGCUGUAGGUUGAGAAAAAUUAUCUUCUUAGAUGAAUGGAUUCCCCUGCCUGCAGUGUAGCAUAUAAUUUUAUGAUUGGAAUGCACUGUUAAUUCCUUUUGCUUUUGUCUUUUUGCCUUUUAACCCCGCUGCUCCAUUGGGAAACAAUUAUUUUGGUGGUGUUCAUGGGACUCGGAUACUACAAUCAACUUCCUGCAUUGAUGCAUCCCUGUUAAUCUUGGAUCA